rnacentral:tRNA from 1 species
GGGUGAUUAGCUCUGCUAGGAGAGCGCCGCCCUUACAAGGAUGGGGUAGGCUGUUCGAUCCCGUCAUCACCCACCA